GAUAGAUGUGAGAAGGAAUUUAUAUACACAAAGAGCUGUUUGUAUGUGGCUGCUAUGAAAGAGAACUGUGUUUGCGUGUGCUCAGGGGUGUGUUCAUUGCACCGAUUCUGUAGAAAAACCGGGAUAAACAUACCUGAAUUUGUCCAAUAGAAACUCUCGUUUGCAACUGUUGGGACUAAUGAUUACACUCUAGAUCAGCUAGAUGCAGGAAAGAGUGUGCAAGGCGGUAUUGAAUAUGUUUAGUCUGUCACCUUUAUUCCUCAAUUCUCUCAACCUGUGUGCACCUGCGUUGUAAACUGUCCUUCAUAGGCUAGGUUAUAAACUGUCCUUCAUAGGCUAGGUUAUAAACUGUCCUUCAUAGGCUAGGUUAUAAACUGUCAUUCAUAGGCUAGGUUAUAAACUGUCCUUCAUAGGCUAGGUUAUAAACUGUCAUUCAUAGGCUAGGUUAUAAACUGUCAUUCAUAGGCUAGGUUAUAAACUGUCAUUCAUAGACUAGGUUAUAAACUGUCAUUCAUAGGCUAGGUUAUAAACUGUCAUUCAUAGGCUAGGUUAUAAACUGUCAUUCAUAGGCUAGGUUAUAAACUGUCCUUCAUAGGCUAGGUUAUAAACUGUCAUUCAGAGGCUAGGUUAUAAACUGUCAUUCAGAGGCUAGGUUAUAAACUGUCCUUCAUAGGCUAGGUUAUAAACUGUCCUUCAUAGGCUAGGUUAUAAACUGUCCUUCAUAGGCUAGGUUAUAAACUGUCCUUCAUAGGCUAGGUUAUAAACUGUCCUUCAUAGGCUAGGUUAUAAACUGUCCUUCAUAGGCUAGGUUAUAAACUGUCCUUCAUAGGCUAGGUUAUAAACUGUCCUUCAUAGGCUAGGUUAUAAACUGUCCUUCAUAGGCUAGGUUAUAAACUGUCAUUCAUAGGCUAGGUUAUAAACUGUCAUUCAUAGGCUAGGUUAUAAACUGUCAUUCAUAGGCUAGGUUAUAAACUGUCAUUCAUAGGCUAGGUUAUAAACUGUC